rnacentral:misc_RNA from 1 species
GCAAACUUGGUCAUUUAGAGGAAGUAAAAGUCGUAACAAGGUCUCCGUUGGUGAACCAGCGGAGGGAUCAUUACAAAACGAGUCUCGCGACUCCUCAACCCUUUGUGAACCUUACCGCUGUAUCUCGUUGCUUCGGCAGGCGGCCUCCUCCCCCCGGGGAGCGGCCACGCGACCCGGGCGCACCUCUCGGGCGCCUGCCAGGCGGCGAGCCAACCAAACUCUUGUUCCACCGAGCAGUCUGAGCAAACAACACAACGAAUCAAAACUUUCAACAACGGAUCUCUUGGUUCUGGCAUCGAUGAAGAACGCAGC